rnacentral:rRNA from 1 species
AUUGAACGCUGGCGGCAUGCCUUACACAUGCAAGUCGAACGGUAACAGGGAGCUUGCUCCGCUGACGAGUGGCGAACGGGUGAGUAAUGCAUCGGAACGUACCCAGUCGUGGGGGAUAACGUAGCGAAAGUUACGCUAAUACCGCAUACGUCCUGAGGGAGAAAGCGGGGGACCGUAAGGCCUCGCGCGAUUGGAGCGGCCGAUGUCGGAUUAGCUAGUUGGUAGGGUAAAGGCCUACCAAGGCGACGAUCCGUAGCGGGUCUGAGAGGAUGAUCCGCCACACUGGGACUGAGACACGGCCCAGACUCCUACGGGAGGCAGCAGUGGGGAAUUUUGGACAAUGGGCGAAAGCCUGAUCCAGCCAUGCCGCGUGAGUGAAGAAGGCCUCGGUUGUAAGACUCUUCAGGUGGAAGAAACGACAUAGGUUAAUAACCUUAGUGUCGGAGUGACGGUACCGAUCAGAAGAAGCACCGGCUAACUACGUAGCCAGCAG